rnacentral:tRNA from 1 species
GAGGGUAUAGCUCUGUGGUAGAGUGCGUGCUUAGCACGCAUGAGGUCCAGGGUUCAAUCUCUAGUACCUCCA